rnacentral:rRNA from 1 species
AACGAACGCUGGCGGCAGGCCUAACACAUGCAAGUCGAACGCCCGUAGCAAUACGGGAGUGGCAGACGGGUGAGUAACGCGUGGGAACGUGCCCUUCGGUUCGGAAUAACUCAGGGAAACUUGAGCUAAUACCGGAUACGUCCGUAAGGAGAAAGAUUUAUCGCCGAAGGAUCGGCCCGCGUCGGAUUAGCUAGUUGGUGAGGUAACGGCCCACCAAGGCGACGAUCCGUAGCUGGUCUGAGAGGANGAUCAGCCACACUGGGACUGAGACACGGCCCAGACUCCUACGGGAGGCAGCAGUGGGGAAUAUUGGACAAUGGGCGAAAGCCUGAUCCAGCCAUGCCGCGUGAGUGAAGAAGGCCUUAGGGUUGUAAAGCUCUUUCAGCGGGAAGAUAAUGACGGUACCCGCAGAAGAAG